UACGUAUGGUGCAAGCGUUAUCCGGAUUUACUGGGUGUAAAGGGAGCGUAGGCGGCGCGUUAAGUCUGAUGUGAAAACCCGAGGCUCAACCACGGGAGUGCAUUGGAAACUGGCGGACUGGAGUGCCGGAGAGGUAAGCGGAAUUCCUAGUGUAGCGGUGAAAUGCGUAGAUAUUAGGAGGAACACCAGUGGCGAAGGCGGCUUACUGGACGGCAACUGACGCUGAGGCUCGAAAGCGUGGGGAGCAAACAGG
rnacentral:rRNA from 1 species